ensembl:lncRNA
GCCAAAGCAAGCAAACAACACAGUCCUAACAAUAGAAUAGUUUAUGUGCCGCCCAUACAAAGGGGACCUGAAACCAGGAAGCCCUAGGAUUCGAUGAGGGGAGAACAAUCUGGCAGUGAGCUGACUUCUACCAAAGCAACCUGGAUCAGGAAGCUGGUGGAGGAGAGCCUGGAACCCCUUUGUGGUUAAAUGAGGUGCUUUUCCUGAUGGGCAAAAUACACAGCAGGGGCCGAGGGUGCUGCAAGCUUAAGGAUGUAAGAUGAUGACAACCAUAAGCAAAAGAACACAAUUUGAAGAUCUGGUAAGUACAAGAGAGAUAUUUAUAGAUAUUAAUCAAUUAUCUUGACAUUAUUUUUCUGUUUUAAGUAUUUGUAUUUUUCUUGAGUCCCUAUGAAUAAUGGUACUGCUCGUGAGCCUGACCUUUUCAAGAAAAAUGCUAUACUUCUAUAAUUAUAUUUGAGAGACAUAACAUUAUUUGAAUAGGCAUCUCAGUAUUAUUCAGACAUAUUGUAAUAUUACCAGGACUUAAAGUCUUUGAAUAAUGCAAACUUUCCUAACAUUACUCAUCACAUUUAGUGUAGGC